UACGGAGGUGGCAAGCGUUGCUCGGAAUCACUGGGCGUAAAGGGCGCGUAGGCGGGGAGGUAAGCCGGGUGUGAAAUCCCUCGGCCCAACUGAGGAACUGCGCCCGAGACUGCUUCUCUUGAGUCCCGGAGAGGAAGGUGGAAUUCCCGGUGUAGCGGUGAAAUGUGUAGAGAUCGGGAGGAACACCGGUGGCGAAGGCGGCCUUCGGGACGGUGACUGACGCUGAGGCGCGAAAGCGUGGGGAGCAAACGGG
rnacentral:rRNA from 1 species